rnacentral:rRNA from 1 species
GAGUUUGAUCCUGGCUCAGGACGAACGCUGGCGGCGUGCUUAACACAUGCAAGUCGAACGGAAAGGCCCUGCUUUUGUGGGGUGCUUGAGUGGCGAACGGGUGAGUAACACGUGAGUAACCUGCCCUUGACUUUGGGAUAACUUCAGGAAACUGGGGCUAAUACCGGAUAGGAGCUCCUGCUGCAUGGUGGGGGUUGGAAAGUUUCGGCGGUUGGGGAUGGACUCGCGGCUUAUCAGCUUGUUGGUGGGGUAGUGGCUUACCAAGGCUUUGACGGGUAGCCGGCCUGAGAGGGUGACCGGCCACAUUGGGACUGAGAUACGGCCCAGACUCCUACGGGAGGCAGCAGUGGGGAAUAUUGCACAAUGGGCGGAAGCCUGAUGCAGCAACGCCGCGUGCGGGAUGACGGCCUUCGGGUUGUAAACCGCUUUCGCCUGUGACGAAGCGUGAGUGACGGUAAUGGGUAAAGAAGCACCGGCUAACUACGUGCCAGCAGCCGCGGUGAUACGGAGGGUGCAAGCGUUAAUCGGAAUUAUUGGGCGUAAAGGGCUCGUAGGUGGUUGAUCGCGUCGGAAGUGUAAUCUUGGGGCUUAACCCUGAGCGUGCUUUCGAUACGGGUUGACUUGAGGAAGGUAGGGGAGAAUGGAAUUCCUGGUGGAGCGGUGGAAUGCGCAGAUAUCAGGAGGAACACCAGUGGCGAAGGCGGUUCUCUGGGCCUUUCCUGACGCUGAGGAGCGAAAGCGUGGGGAGCGAACAGGCUUAGAUACCCUGGUAGUCCACGCUGUAAACGGUGGGUACUAGGUGUGGGGUCCAUUCCACGGGUUCCGUGCCGUAGCUAACGCUUUAAGUACCCCGCCUGGGGAGUACGGCCGCAAGGCUAAAACUCAAAGGAAUUGACGGGGCCCCGCACAAGCGGCGGAGCAUGCGGAUUAAUUCGAUGCAACGCGUAGAACCUUACCUGGGUUUGACAUGGAUCGGGAGUGCUCAGAGAUGGGUGUGCCUCUUUUGGGGUCGGUUCACAGGUGGUGCAUGGCUGUCGUCAGCUCGUGU